GACGAGCGCUGGCGGCGUGCUUAACACAUGCAAGUCGAACGGUGAAGCGCCUUCCUUUUUGGUGGGUGUGGAUGAGUGGCGAACGGGUGAGUAACACGUGAGUAACCUGCCCCCUUCUUCUGGAUAACCGCAUGAAAGUGUGGCUAAUACGGGAUAUUCUGGGUCUGUCGCAUGAUGGGUCUGGGAAAGAUAUUGUUUCGGUGGGGGAUGGGCUCGCGGCCUAUCAGCUUGUUGGGGGGGUGAUGGCCUACCAAGGCGGUGACGGGUAGCCGGCCUGAGAGGGUGGACGGUCACACUGGGACUGAGACACGGCCCAGACUCCUACGGGGGGCAGCAGUGGGGAGUAUUGCACAGUGGGCGCAAGCCUGAUGCAGCGACGCCGCGUGAGGGAUGGAGGCCUUCGGGUUGUGAACCUCUUUCGCCAGUGAAGCAGGCCUGCCUCGUUUGUGGGUGGGUUGACGGUAGCUGGAUAAGAAGCGCCGGCUAACUACGUG
rnacentral:rRNA from 1 species